rnacentral:lncRNA from 1 species
AUGAAUGCUCUGUUUGAUUCCUGGGUGGUCCCGUGUGGAGCCCGGAGCUGGACUCCGUGGUCCUUGGGGGUCUCUUCCAACCUGGGCUAUACUGAGUCUAGUUCUCUGAGGUCUGGGAAAUGCGAUGGUGGAUGUGCCUCUGCGCUGUGUGCUCUGGAAACAGCAAGCCCCACUGCCUGGCCGGAAUGCCUUGGUCCAGGCAUCAAGCUGAAAGAAAUGGCAAGAGCGAGCACACACACGGACACCUCCUCUCCAGAGAUGCAGCAGCUGACUGGGCUCUAUGCAGACAUACUGACUCAGAUUUCCUUUCUUCUGCCCACACAGCAGCAAAAUCUUGACCUUCUGAGCGUGGGGGAGGGCUCAGGCAGGACUGUCCCCUCUGACUGCUGCUGGUCCUGGCACAGCCAGCACAUCUUGUUCACUUGUGUUGGUGUCGCCUACCAGGAUGCCAGGAAGAUGUGCUGCCAACAGCUGCUGAAUUGUGCUUCGUGGUUGAAAGAGAAACGUGGGCUUCGAGAAGACAAUAGAAGAAUUUAUUCUGCAGGUGGGUGAAUGUAAUUUUGAAAGGAGGAGAUUUUAGGUGAGUUGUAGGUGUGACUUUUUCACUGUUCAUCUGCUUUUACAUGUCUGCCUUCUGUUUAUGUUCAGUUAAGGUGAAUGAGGCAGGACAUGAAAGACAAAGCAGGGAGAAAUGGGCUGUUGUGUCAUUAAAACUGCGGGCCAGAAAGUCCAGGAAUGGCAGAAGGGCUGGAAUGGAACAUGAGAGGUUAAACUUCCCAAACAAAGGCUGGAAUUAUUUUGUUUCUGUUUUGGAAAGCAAAAGUAAGACCAAGAGAGCCAUGGAAAGCCUGCCCUGAGCCAGGAACACGUUUACAAAUCAUCCUGCAGCAACCAAAUCGAUACAUCUGUACAUCUCCCAGUGACUUUCCAGAAUCACAGAAACCACAAAUAGUUGUGGGUUCUUCAAGGUGUUUGUGGAGAGGCUGUUUACUUUUUUUUUUUUUCCUCUCUGGAUUUGAUUUCACUGUGUGGGGAAUAUGUUUAUUUAAGAAGAAAUGAAAACCACACAAAACUGUAUGUGGAGAAAGCAGAUGGUUUCUACAGAAUUACUUUUGUGAGAAUUAAGGUGUUGGCACAACCUGGGAAAGGAAAGCGGGAGAGGAGCGGCAGGUGGCAGGCGGGGCUGCGUGUCGCCGCGGCAGAGUUCGAGGCCUGUUCGCGACGUGCCACGGCUGCAGGCGUGG